CGAGACUCAGUGAAAUUGAACUCGCUGUGAAGAUGCAGUGUACCCGCGGCAAGACGGAAAGACCCCGUGAACCUUUACUAUAGCUUGACACUGAACAUUGAGCCUUGAUGUGUAGGAUAGGUGGGAGGCUUUGAAGUGUGGACGCCAGUCUGCAUGGAGCCGACCUUGAAAUACCACCCUUUAAUGUUUGAUGUUCUAACGUGGACCCGUAAUCCGGGUUGCGGACAGUGUCUGGUGGGUAGUUUGACUGGGGCGGUCUCCUCCUAAAGAGUAACGGAGGAGCACGAAGGUUGGCUAAUCCUGGUCGGACAUCAGGAGGUUAGUGCAAUGGCAUAAGCCAGCUUGACUGCGAGCGUGACGGCGCGAGCAGGUGCGAAAGCAGGUCAUAGUGAUCCGGUGGUUCUGAAUGGAAGGGCCAUCGCUCAACGGAUAAAAGGUACUCCGGGGAUAACAGGCUGAUACCGCCCAAGAGUUCAUAUCGACGGCGGUGUUUGGCACCUCGAUGUCGGCUCAUCACAUCCUGGGGCUGAAGUAGGUCCCAAGGGUAUGGCUGUUCGCCAUUUAAAGUGGUACGCGAGCUGGGUUUAGAACGUCGUGAGACAGUUCGGUCCCUAUCUGCCGUGGGCGCUGGAGAACUGAGGGGGGCUGCUCCUAGUACGAGAGGACCGGAGUGGACGCAUCACUGGUGUUCGGGUUGUCAUGCCAAUGGCACUGCCCGGUAGCUAAAUGCGGAAGAGAUAAGUGCUGAAAGCAUCUAAGCACGAAACUUGCCCCGAGAUGAGUUCUCCCUGACUCCUUGAGAGUCCUGAAGGAACGUUGAAGACGACGACGUUGAUAGGCCGGGUGUGUAAGCGCAGCGAUGCGUUGAGCUAACCGGUACUAAUGAACCGUGAGG
rnacentral:rRNA from 1 species